UAUUACACGUCAUUUUGUUCUGGACAGAAGGCAGUCACUUUUCUAGAAAUCAUCGUUCUUUACUUUACGCGAAGCUAUUACAGAAAACUCCAGCUGAUACACAGUUCAAUCAAAAUUCGUAAUAAGGAAGAAGGAGAGAAAAGAUAACUUUAGUGUGACAAGAUGGAAAACGAAAAAAUGUUGGGAGGGUCGAGAAUUUGGAGAUAUAUCACUUCUGAAGUAUCUGAACUUAACACUGAACCGCCUGAAAUUCUCUAAAUUUAUUUCUCAUUGGCCAACAAUCAACAAGGCAACAUUUGACGAUUCUGAUCUUGCCAUGAACGGAAGAGAACACUUGGUGCAAGAUCAUAAUUUGGUUUACAUUUGAAGAGAAAGUAAGGAGAAAAUACUUCAAGGAUCUCAUUCCUCCAACAAUUAUGGCAGAUUUGUUCCCGGAUUACCCUCGCUGCUGUUCGAUAGACUAUCAAUUGGCGGAAAAUGAAAAGUGGUCGGCCGCGCUGAAAUUCAAGAUCGAUAUAUUAUGUAGAUGUAUAUAAAUUACAAGUGCAUAUCUGGGCUCCCUUCUUCAGUGGCCCCGUUUCCCUAAAUAACCACUAACCAACGCCCGCCGGUGGUCUUUCACUCGCUGCGACAACCAGGAGGAAGGGAGAUGUUUGGUCGAACGGGGACUUGCAAGGCGCAUGAUUCGAUGAAAUCUGUUGGAGGGUUAUGAGUCUAAGCCGGAAGCCUACUAUGAUACACUGCUCUCAUAAUAACUGCUCCUCAGCUCUCUUCGCUCUUUUUCCGGUUUCUCUUAACCAUGUCCGGGUAAUCUCCCUGGUCGAGUCAGU